rnacentral:rRNA from 1 species
GACAGAGGUGCCAAGCGUUAGGCGGAAUCACUGGGCUUAAAGCGUGUGUAGGCGGAUCGUUAAGUACCUUGUGAAAUCCCACGGCUCAACCGUGGAACUGCUGGGUAUACUGGCGGUCUUGAGCCACCUAGGGGCAACUGGAACAAGCGGUGGAGCGGUGAAAUGCGUAGAUAUCGCUUGGAACGCCAACGGUGAAAACAGCUAGCUGGGAGUGUGCCGACGCUGAGACACGAAAGCCAGGGGAGCGAACGGG